GCGGACGUGGUGCACGGUGCACUGCUGCCUGAAUUAUUUGGCCAGCAAGUUGCAAGCAGUUCAUGGGGUUCGACUCCCCGCGUCCGCA